rnacentral:rRNA from 1 species
UACGUAGGGUCCGAGCGUUGUCCGGAAUUAUUGGGCGUAAAGGGCUCGUAGGCGGUUUGUCGCGUCGGGAGUGAAAACACGGGGCUUAACCCCGUGCCUGCUUCCGAUACGGGCAGACUAGAGGUAUGCAGGGGAGAACGGAAUUCCUGGUGUAGCGGUGAAAUGCGCAGAUAUCAGGAGGAACACCGAUGGCGAAGGCAGGUCUCUGGGCCAUAACUGACGCUGAGAAGCGAAAGCAUGGGGGAGCGAACAGG